CCUACGGGUGGCUGCAGUGGGGAAUCUUCCGCAAUGGACGAAAGUCUGACGGAGCAACGCCGCGUGAGUGAUGAAGGUUUUCGGUCUGUAAAGCUCUGUUGUUUAUGACGAACGUGCAGUGUGUGAACAAUGCAUUGCAAUGACGGUAGUAAACGAGGAAGCCACGGCUAACUACGUGCCAGCAGCCGCGGUAAUACGUAGGUGGCGAGCGUUGUCCGGAAUUAUUGGGCGUAAAGAGCAUGUAGGCGGCUUAAUAAGUCGAGCGUGAAAAUGCGGGGCUCAACCCCGUAUGGCGCUGGAAACUGUUAGGCUUGAGUGCAGGAGAGGAAAGGGGAAUUCCCAGUGUAGCGGUGAAAUGCGUAGAUAUUGGGAGGAACACCAGUGGCGAAGGCGCCUUUCUGGACUGUGUCUGACGCUGAGAUGCGAAAGCCAGGGUAGCGAACGGGCUUAGAUACCCCGGUAGUC
rnacentral:rRNA from 1 species